UUGAACGCUGGCGGCAGGCCUAAACACAUGCAAGUCGAGCGGUAGCACAGAGAGCUUGCUCUCGGGUGACGAGCGGCGGACGGGUAGUAAUGUCUGGGAAACUGCCUGAUGGAGGGGGAUAACUACUGGAAACGGUAGCUAAUACCGCAUAAUGUCGCAAGACCAAAGUGGGGGACCUUCGGGCCUCAUGCCAUCAGAUGUGCCCAGAUGGAUUAGCUGGUAGGUGGGGUAACGGCUCACCUAGGCGACGAUCCCUAGCUGGUCUGAGAGGAUGACCAGCCACACUGGAACUGAGACACGGUCCAGACUCCUACGGGAAGGCAGCAGUGGGGAAUAUGGCACAAUGGGCGCAAGCCUUGAUGCAGCGCAUGCCGCGUGUGUUGAAGAAGGGCCUUCGGGUUGUAAAGCACUUUCAGCGGGGAGGAAGCGCGGUGAGGUUAAUAACCUCAUCGAUUGACGUUACCCGCAGAAGAAGCACCGGCUAACUCCGUGCCAGCAGCCGCGGUAAUACGGGGGGUGCAGCGUUAAUCGGAAUUACUGGGCGUAAAGCGCACGCAGGCGGUCUGCUCAAGUCGGAUGUGAAAUCACCGGGCUCGACCUGGGAACUGCAUUCGAAACUGGCAGGCUAGAGUCUUGUAGAGGGGGGUAGAAUUCCAGGUUGUAGCGGUGAAAUGCGUAGAGAUCUGGUAGGAAUACCGGUGGCGAAGGCGGCCCCCUGGACAAAGACUGACGCUCAGGUGCGAAAGCGUGGGGAGCAAACAGGAUUAGAUACCUGGUAGUCCACGCUGCUGUAAACGAUGUCGAUUUGGAGGUUGUGCCCUUGAGGCGUGGCUUCCGGAGCUAACGCGUUAAAUCGACCGCCUGGGGGGUACGGCCGCAAGGUUAAAACUCAAAUGAAUUGACGGGGGCCCGCACAAGCGGUGGAGCAUGGUGGUUUAAUUCGAUGCAACGUCGAAGAACCUUACCAUGGUCUUGACAUCCACAGAACUAGCAGAGAUGCUUUGGUGCCUUCGGGAACUGUGAGACAGGUGCUGCAUGGCUGUCGUCAGCUCGUGUGUGAAAUGUUGGGUUAAGGUCCCGCAACGAGGCGCAACCCUUAUCCUUUGUUGCCAGCGGUCCGGCCGGGAACUCAAAGGAGACUGCCAGUGAUAAAGCUGGAGGAAGGUGGGGAUGACGUCGAAGUCAUCAUGGCCCUUACGACCAUGGGCUACACACGUGCUACAAUGGCAUAUACAAAGAGAAGCGACCUCGCGAGAGCAAGCGGACCUCAUAAAGUAUGUCGUAGUCCGGAUUGGAGUCUGCAACUCGACCCAUGAAGUCGGAAUCGCUAGUAAUCGUAGAUCAGAAUGCUACGGUGAAUACGUUCCCGGGCCUUGUACACACCGCCCCGUCACAUCACGAAAGUGGGCUGUACUAGAAGCCGGUGCGCCAACCCGCAAGGGGGGGUAGCCGUCCAAGGUAUAACUCAUGAUUGGGGGU
rnacentral:rRNA from 1 species